UAAGACGAGCCAGAGUCACUUUGGCGGUAGAUGAAAAAGGAGGUCAUGGAGAUCCUGCGUCCAUCCAAUUCACUUCUACCCCUAAAGAUCAAGAAUAAAGACCAAGGACUUUUACUUAUCCUGACUCCGGCUGAUGCUAAGGAGUUGGAGAGGAGCACUCUGGGAGAUACAGAAGCCACUCUCGGAGGUGGAGUCAGAUUCAUUCCAUCUUCCACCUUUGUGCUGGCUGGAGGCUGAAGAAAGCAGAGACCAAAGCAAAGGAUAAAGCUGCAAGAGCUCUUGGAGAAAUAAACGUUUGGAUUUUA